UGACUCUCUCUCUCGUCGUUUUGCUUUCAUUCUCUCUUGGAGUGUGCUGAUUUAGGAUCAUCGUAUAUCCUCGAGGGGUUAUUUGGCUAAGAUAGAUUUUGGUUCUUGAUUCGGUGUUUUUCAAGUUUCUCAUCUAUAAAGUAUAAUGUUGGUAUAAUGGUCGGUAUUUAUGAUCAUUAUAUGCGUGGUAUGAACAUUAUGAUUCCUCUCACCCUGCCAUCCACUCUCGAGAUUCAUAUUGAUCAAUAGAUCUCUAGGCCCUGCCAGUUCGCUAAGUAGACUCACUCAACCAAGGGACAACAAAGACUGGAACUCUUCCUGCCAAAAACAAGGGACCUACUUCUCAUUCUAGGAGUUAACAGGACUACAAGCAUAAGAAGAAAUUUGGAUCAGGACAAAGACCUACUACUGCAGUGAAUGCUAUGGAAGUUGAUAACACUGGUAGUUUUGUAGAGAGGUCAAUGAGAGAUUUGUUGGUCCACAACCUGCUUUUACACCUGAUCAAUACAAUUGGAUUUUGAGGUACUUAAUUGAAAUUGCACAUAAUGCUCUUGACAAUAAUGCAAUCAACAUGGCAGGUAUUUUUGAAGUUUUAACAGUAGAUAGUACAUGCAGAAAUAAUACAUGUAGCAAAUGCAUCAUUGAUUCUGGCACAUCUAAACAUGUUAAUUCCAUAUUAAAUUUGUCUAUCAUAUUUGAUAAAUAUAAAAAGGGCAUUCUGGUGCACUAAUCUCUUGCUAUGUGCAGGGUACGGGCAAGGGCCCUACUCCAAGAUUCUAUUGUACGAAGCCUUUCCUUGAUAAAUA